rnacentral:rRNA from 1 species
AUUGAACGCUGGCGGCAUGCUUUACACAUGCAAGUCGGACGGCAGCACAGAGAAGCUUGCUUCUUGGGUGGCGAGUGGCGAACGGGUGAGUAAUAUAUCGGAACGUACCGAGUAAUGGGGGAUAACUAAUCGAAAGAUUAGCUAAUACCGCAUAUUCUCUGAGGAGGAAAGCAGGGGACCUUCGGGCCUUGCGUUAUUCGAGCGGCCGAUAUCUGAUUAGCUAGUUGGUGGGGUAAAGGCCUACCAAGGCGACGAUCAGUAGCGGGUCUGAGAGGAUGAUCCGCCACACUGGGACUGAGACACGGCCCAGACUCCUACGGGAGGCAGCAGUGGGGAAUUUUGGACAAUGGGCGCAAGCCUGAUCCAGCCAUGCCGCGUGUCUGAAGAAGGCCUUCGGGUUGUAAAGCACUUUUGUCAGGGAAGAAAAGGCUGUUGCUAAUAUCAAUAGCUGAUGACGGUACCUGAAGAAUAAGCACCGGCUAACUACGUG